GAAAUUCCAAUCGAACCCGGAGAUAGCUGGUUCUCCCCGAAAUAGCUUUAGGGCUAGCGUCGAGAGAAGAGUUGCGUGAAGGUAGAGCACUGAAUAUGUGAUGGCCCCAUCUCGGGGUACUGAGCAUAAUCAAACUGCGAAUGUCACGCCAACAUGCUCGGCAGUCAGACAGCGGGUGAUAAGGUCCGUUGUCAAGAGGGAAACAGCCCAGACCAUCAGCUAAGGUCCCAAAAUGUAUGCUAAGUGGAAAAGGAUGUGGAGAUGUACAGACAACUAGGAGGUUGGCUCAGAAGCAGCCAUCCUUUAAAGAGUGCGUAACAGCUCACUAGUCGAAUGACUCUGCGCCGAUAAUUUACCGGGGCUAAGCAUACUACCGAAGCUAUGGAUCCCAAGGGAUGGUAGGGGAGCGUUCCAUGAACGGAGAAGUACGACCGAAAGGACGUGUGGAGAUCAUGGAAGAGAGAAUGCCGGUGUGAGUAGCGGAACGUGGGUGAGAAUCCCACGCACCGAAAACCCAAGGUUUCCAGAGGAAGGUUCGUCCGCUCUGGGUAAGUCGGGACCUAAGGCGAGGCCGAAAGGCGUAGUCGAUGGACAACAGGUAGAGAUUCCUGUACCCGUAUAUAUGUGAAGGAAUGACGGAGAGAGGAAGCUGCAGCCAGCGGCUGGAAGAGCUGGUGCAAGCGAGAUAUCGGGAUGGCAGGCAAAUCCACCAUCCGAAACGAGAAGGCGUGAAGCGUACGGAAAGCUACGGCGAGUACGGAAGGCAGUGGAGGAACUUCCAAGAAAAGUUUCUAACGUUAAGUAUAUAUGGCCCGUACCGAAAAUGGACACACAUGGGUGAGGAGAGAAUCCUAAGGUGAGCGAGAGAACUAUAGCUAAGGAACUCUGCAAAAUGACUCCGUAACUUAGGGAGAAGGAGUGCUCAUAGAGAUAUGAGCCGCAGUGAAACGGCCCAAGCGACUGUUUACCAAAAACACAGCUCUCUGCUAAGCCGCAAGGCGAAGUAUAGGGGGUGACGCCUGCCCGGUGCUGGAAGGUUAAGGGGAGGGGUUAACGCAAGUGAAGCCCUGAACUGAAGCCCCAGUAAACGGCGGCCGUAACUAUAACGGUCCUAAGGUAGCGAAAUUCCUUGUCAGGUAAGUUCUGACCCGCACGAAAGGCGUAACGAUUUGGGCGCUGUCUCAGCUGUAGACUCGGUGAAGUCUUAGUACCUGUGAAGAUGCAGGUUACCCGCGACUAGACGGAAAGACCCCAUGGAGCUUCACUGCAGGUUGAUAUUGGGAUUUGAUGCAGCAUGUACAGGAUAGGUAGGAGGCAAAGAGAUGGAUACGCCAGUAUUCAAGGAGCCGCUGUUGGGAUACUACCCCUGUUGUAUUGGAUUUCUAACCGGACGACGUAGAGCCGUUGACGGGACAGUGUCAGUCGGGCAGUUUGACUGGGGCGGUCGCCUCCCAAAGAGUAACGGAGGCGCCCAAAGAUACCCUCAGCUUGGAUGGAAACCAAGCGCAGAGUGCAAAGGCAAAAGGGUGUUUGACUGCGAGACCCACAAGUCGAGCAGGGACGAAAGUCGGGCUUAGUGAUCCGGCGGUGCUGAAUGGAAAGGCCGUCGCUCAACGGAUAAAAGCUACCCUGGGGAUAACAGGCUGAUCUCCCCCAA
rnacentral:rRNA from 1 species